UGGGGAAUUUUGGACAAUGGGUGCAACCCUGAUCCAGCAAUGCCGCGUGAGUGAAGAAGGCCUUCGGGUUGUAAAGCUCUUUUGUCAGGGAAGAAACGGUAGUAGCGAAUAACUAUUACUAAUGACGGUACCUGAAGAAUAAGCACCGGCUAACUACGUGCCAGCAGCCGCGGUAAUACGUAGGGUGCAAGCGUUAAUCGGAAUUACUGGGCGUAAAGCGUGCGCAGGCGGUUGUGUAAGUCAGAUGUGAAAUCCCCGGGCUCAACCUGGGAAUUGCAUUUGAGACUGCACGGCUAGAGUGUGUCAGAGGGGGGUAGAAUUCCACGUGUAGCAGUGAAAUGCGUAGAUAUGUGGAGGAAUACCGAUGGCGAAGGCAGCCCCCUGGGAUAACACUGACGCUGAGACGCGAAAGCGUGGGGAGCAAACAGGAUUAGAUACCCUGGUAGUCCCUGAGCGGGCUGGCAAGGCGCAU
rnacentral:rRNA from 1 species